CAGGUGGUGCAUGGCUGUCGUCAGCUCGUGUCGUGAGAUGUUGGGUUAAGUCCCGCAACGAGCGCAACCCUUGUCUUAUGUUGCCAGCACGUGAUGGUGGGGACUCGUAAGAGACUGCCGGGGUCAACUCGGAGGAAGGUGGGGACGACGUCAAGUCAUCAUGCCCCUUAUGUCCAGGGCUUCACACAUGCUACAAUGGCCAGUACAGAGGGCUGCGAGACCGUGAGGUGGAGCGAAUCCCUUAAAGCUGGUCUCAGUUCGGAUCGGGGUCUGCAACUCGACCCCGUGAAGUCGGAGUCGCUAGUAAUCGCAGAUCAGCAACGCUGCGGUGAAUACGUUCCCGGGCCUUGUACACACCGCCCGUCACGUCAUGAAAGUCGGUAACACCCGAAGCCGGUGGCCUAACCCCUUGUGGGAGGGAGCCGUCGAAGGUGGGAUCGGCGAUUGGGACGAAGUCGUAACAAGGUAACC
rnacentral:rRNA from 1 species